UGAGUACGAGAUGCUACGGCAUCGAAGCAGUCUAUGUCAUACUUCCAAGAAAAGCUUGCACUGUCAGAAACAGAUAAUGCCUGUACCAUAACCGACACAGGUGGGUAGGUAGAGUAUACUAAGGGGCGCGAGAUAACUCUCUCUAAGGAACUCGGCAAAAUGACUCCGUAACUUCGGGAGAAGGAGUGCCUUAUUUUUAAGGUUGCAAUAACAAGAUCCAAGCAACUGUUUACCAAAAACACAGGUCUCCGCUAAGUCGUAAGACGAUGUAUGGGGGCUGACGCCUGCCCAGUGCCAGAAGGUUAAAGAAGUCGGUUAGCAUUCGCGAAGCUGGUAACUGAAGCCCUGGUGAACGGCGGCCGUAACUAUAACGGUCCUAAGGUAGCGAAAUUCCUUGUCGGGUAAGUUCCGACCCGCACGAAAGGCGUAAUGAUUUGGAUACUGUCUCGGAGAGGGGCUCGGUGAAAUAGACUUGUCUGUGAAGAUGCGGACUACCUGCACCUGGACAGAAAGACCCUAUGAAGCUUUACUGUAACUUGAAAUUGAAAUUGGACUUUAUUUGCGCAGUAUAGGUGGGAGGCGUUGAAAAUAUUCUUGCGGGAAUAUUGGAGCCAUCAGUGAGAUACCACUCUUGUAAUGUUAGAUUUCUAACUUUAUAUCAUUAUCUGGUUAAAGAACAGUUUCAGGCGGGCAGUUUGACUGGGGCGGUCGCCUCCCAAAUGGUAACGGAGGCGCACAAAGGUUUCCUCUGAACGGGUAGAAAUCGUAUCUAGAGUGUAAAGGCAUAAGGAAGCUUGACUGUGAGACCUACAAGUCGAGCAGGGACGAAGUCGGUCUUAGUGAUCUGACGGUGCUGAGUGGAAAGGCCGUCACUCAACGGAUAAAAGUUACUCUAAGGAUAACAGGCUGAUCUCCCCCAAGAGUUCACAUCGACGGGGAGGUUUGGCACCUCGAUGUCGGCUCAUCGCAUCCUGGGGCGGUAGUACGUCCCAAGGGUUGGGCUGUUCGCCCAUGAAAGCGGUACGCGAGCUGGGUUCAGAACGUCGUGAGACAGUUCGGUCCAUAUCCGGUGUAGGCGUUAGAAUAUUGAGAGGAGCCUUCUUUAGUACGAGAGGACCGAGAAGGACAUACCUCUGGUGUACCAGUUAUCGUGCCAACGGUAAACGCUGGGUAGCUAUGUAUGGAGUGGAUAACCGCUGAAAGCAUCUAAGUGGGAAGCCCACCUCAAGAUAAGUAUUCUCAUC
rnacentral:rRNA from 1 species